CGGAACUAGCGGCGAAUGGGUGAGUAACACGUACUUAACGUACCUCUUAGAUUGGGAUAACGGUGAGAAAUCACCGCUAAUACCGGAUACUUAUAAGGAAGGCAUCUUCCUUAUAUAAAAGGAGCCUCAAAGCUCCACUAGGAGAUCGGGGUGCGGAACAUUAGUUAGUUGGUGAGGUAAUGGCUCACCAAGACUAUGAUGUUUAACGGGGUUGAGAGACUGAUCCGUCACACUGGGACUGAGAUACGGCCCAGACUCCUACGGGAGGCAGCAGUAGGGAAUUUUCCACAAUGGGCGAAAGCCUGAUGGAGCGACACAGCGUGCAGGAUGAAGGCCUUCGGGUUGUAAACUGCUGUUAUUUAGGAUGAAAAAAUAGUAGAGGAAAUGCUAUUAUCUUGACAGUACUAAAUCAGAAAGCAACGGCUAACUAUGUGCCAGCAGCCGCGGUAAUACAUAGGUUGCAAGCGUUAUCCGGAAUUAUUGGGCGUAAAGCGUCUGUAGGUUGUUUGUUAAGUCUGGCGUCAAAACUUGGGGCUCAACCCCAAAUCGCGUUGGAUACUGACAAACUAGAAUUGUGUAGAGGUUAACGGAAUUCCUUGUGAAGCGGUGAAAUGCGUAGAUAUAAGGAAGAACAUCAACUUGGCGAAGGCAGUUAACUGGGCACAUAUUGACACUGAGAGACGAAAGCGUGGGGAGCAAACAGGAUUAGAUACCCUGGUAGUCCACGCCGUAAACGAUGAUGAUUAGCUGAUGGAAACCAUCGGCGCAGCUAACGCAUUAAAUCAUCCGCCUGAGUAGUAUGCUCGCAAGAGUGAAACUUAAAGGAAUUGACGGGGAUCCGCACAAGCGGUGGAGCAUGUGGUUUAAUUUGAAGAUACGCGUAGAACCUUACCCACUCUUGACAUCUUCUGCAAGCUA
rnacentral:rRNA from 1 species